rnacentral:rRNA from 1 species
UACGGAGGGGGCAAGCGUUAUUCGGAAUUAUUGGGCGUAAAGGGCGCGUAGGCGGCUAGAUGUGUCAAAGGUGAAAUCCCCGGGCUCAACCUGGGAACUGCAUUUGUGACUGCAUAGCUGGAGUACGGUAGAGGGGGAUGGAAUUCCGCGUGUAGCAGUGAAAUGCGUAGAUAUGCGGAGGAACACCGAUGGCGAAGGCAAUCCCCUGGACCUGUACUGACGCUCAUGCACGAAAGCGUGGGGAGCAAACAGG